ACAGGCUCGUUUCUACGGAUCA
rnacentral:miRNA from 1 species